rnacentral:rRNA from 1 species
AACGAACGCUGGCGGCAGGCUUAACACAUGCAAGUCGAACGCCCCGCAAGGGGGAGUGGCAGACGGGUGAGUAACGCGUGGGAAUCUACCGUGCCCUGCGGAAUAGCUCUGGGAAACUGGGAAUUAAUACCGCAUACGCCCUACGGGGAAAGAUUUAUCGGGGUAUGAUGAGCCCGCGUUGGAUUAGCUAGUUGGUGGGG